AUACGUAGGGGGCGAGCGUUGUCCGGAAUGAUUGGGCGUAAAGGGCGCGUAGGCGGCCCGGUGAGUCUGGAGUGAAAGUCCUGCUUUUAAGGUGGGAAUUGCUUUGGAUACUGUCGGGCUUGAGUGCAGGAGAGGUAAGUGGAAUUCCCAGUGUAGCGGUGAAAUGCGUAGAGAUUGGGAGGAACACCAGUGGCGAAGGCGACUGACUGGACUGUAACUGACGCUGAGGCGCGAAAGUGUGGGGAGCAAACAGGAUUAGAUACCCCGGUAGUCCUAGCCGUAAACGAUGGAUACUGGGUGUGGGUGUCGCAGGGCAUCCGUGCCGCAGUUAACGCGUUAAGUAUCCCGCCUGGGGACUACGGUCGCAAGACUGAAACUCAAAUGAAUUGGCGGGG
rnacentral:rRNA from 1 species